rnacentral:rRNA from 1 species
UACGGAGGGUGCAAGCGUUAUCCGGAUUUACUGGGUUUAAAGGGUGCGCAGGCGGAUAUGUAAGUCAGUGGUGAAAUCUCUAGGCUUAACCUGGAAAUUGCCGUUGAUACUAUAUAUCUCGAAUGCUGUGGAGGUAAGCGGAAUAUGUCAUGUAGCGGUGAAAUGCUUAGAUAUGACAUAGAACACCUAUUGCGAAGGCAGCUUACUACGCAGAUAUUGACGCUCAUGCACGAAAGCGUGGGGAUCAAACAGG